rnacentral:rRNA from 1 species
CCUACGGGAGGCAGCAGUAGGGAAUUUUCGUCAAUGGGCGCAAGCCUGAACGAGCAAUGCCGCGUGAACGAGGAAGGUCUUCGGAUCGUAAAGCCCUGUUGAAGGGGAAAAAGAGCGGAGAGAGGAAAUGCUUUCUGAUUGAUAUUACCCUUCGAGGAAGUCACGGCUAACUACGGGCCAGCAGCCGCGGUAAUACGUAGGUGGCGAGCGUUAUCCGGAAUGGUUGGGCGUAAAGGGUGCGUAGGCGGCCUGCUAAGUCUGGAGUGAAAGGUACCGGCUCAACCGGUACAGGCUCUGGAAACUGGCGGGCUAGAGGGGAGGGGAGGGCGGUGGAACUCCAUGUGUAGCGGUAAAAUGCGUAGAUAUAUGGAAGAACAUCAGUGGCGAAGGCGGCCGCCUGGCCUGUUAACUGACGCUGAGGCACGAAAGCGUGGGGAGCAAAUAGGAUUAGAUACCCGAGUAGUC